UGGGUCUUUACUGCUUUGGAUUUUCAAGAGAAGAACUUUUAGGGAAGAAAUAGAUGAAAGGAGAAAGGUAGUUAAAAUCCAAAUUUCUUUAUGAUAUAAGCAUUUGUCUUCAGAUUUAGAAUGGAAUAGCUAAUUCCAUUAUAUAUGGGCUAUGGAUCUGACUGGGAGAAACAAAAUAAGUGAAGGUAGGGAAGAAUAAGAUCAAUAUGUUUGGGAAAGCUUGGAAUAAAGAAGAAUAAGCGGUGGGUGUUUG
rnacentral:lncRNA from 1 species